UACGUAGGUGGCAAGCGUUGUCCGGAUUUAUUGGGUUUAAAGGGUGCGUAGGCGGCUUUGUAAGUCAGUGGUGAAAUAUGGCAGCUCAACUGUCAGGGUGCCAUUGAUACUGCAGAGCUUGAGUACAGAUGAGGUAGGCGGAAUUGAUGGUGUAGCGGUGAAAUGCAUAGAUACCAUCAAGAACUCCGAUUGCGUAGGCAGCUAACUAGGCUGUAACUGACGCUGAGGCACGAAAGCGUGGGGAGCGAACAGG
rnacentral:rRNA from 1 species